rnacentral:rRNA from 1 species
UCUUACGGCCAUACCAUCCUGAAUGCACCCGAUCUUGUCAGAUCUCGGAAGCUAAGCAGGAUCGGGCCUGGUUAGUACUUGGAUGUGUGACUGCCUGGGAAUACCAGGUGCUGUAAGCA